UUAUAUAGUGUUUGUAGGUCACCUCCACUAAAAUGCAACCACUUCCGAUCAUCUCCGUUGAAAUCUGGUCACCUCUACUGAAAUCCGGCCAUCUCCACUAGAAUCUGGUCACCUCAGUAGCAGCGUCGCACUGCAUGCACUCCUCAGCAGCAGCGCCCCACGCAACAGCGGCGGCUGCACGAUCGCAGCAGUAGCGGCUGCACUGCAAUGCAUCAUAUUAAAAAAUUAUGGCCGAUUAAUACUGUUUAGGAACAAUUCCCAUACGGAGAGAUAUAUGAUUUGGUCUUGUCAACCCUUAUCAAUAUGUUAAACAAGACGAUCAGCACGUUACAAACUGAGAGGAAGAAACUGCAAGAAGUUCUUCAAGCUGCUUCGUACAAGAAGGAAUUGGAUUCCGCGAGGAGUAAAAUUAAGGAGCUUCAGAGACAGUUUCAACUUGAAGCGAAUCAGACGAAAGGGCAGCUGUUGUUGUUAAAGCAACAAGUCGGAAUUCUUCAAAAGAAAGAAAAAGAUGCAGUCAGAAAAGAUAUUGAUAUUGAUAAAAAGCUAAAAACUUUAGAGGAGUUAGAAGUGGAUGUUGUGGAGCUUAAGCAGAAGAACCGAGAGCUUUAGCAUGAGAUGAAAGAGUUAGUUAUUAAGCUCGAUGCAGCUGAGGCUAGAAUCGCGACAUUAUCCAGUACUACCGAGAUGGAAAUGGUGGUGAAUGUUAGAGAAUGAGUAACACAAACUCCUGAAGUUAAGGAAUGAGUAACACAAACUCCUGACGCUUCCGCCAAUCAUUCUACUGACGGAAGUGCACUUGGUUCUUCAACGCUUUUAUGCACUAGAUCAAGACUACAAGAACCGUUCAGUUGGAAAACCUUUGUGAUUUUAUUCAAACUGAAACAUCCUACAACGUACCGUCUAAGGCAACCACUUCAUCUAUAUCUAUGAAGAACACAACUCUCAAACCAGAAUAGAAUAACGGAGAGUUGACAUCAUGUAAAGCAUGGGAGGAAUAGAGAUAACAAGAUUCAUGGAUCGCUUGGAGCUAAUUUUUUUAUAGUAAUAUUCCUACCUGAAGACUUAUGUUGUAAAUAUUUGGAAUAUGUUAUGUAUUGAACUUAUAGUUGAAAUUAUGAUAUUAUAAUUUCUACAUUUUAUA